rnacentral:rRNA from 1 species
GACGAACGCUGGCGGCGUGCUUAACACAUGCAAGUCGAACGGAAAGGCCCUGCUUUUGUGGGGUGCUCGAGUGGCGAACGGGUGAGUAACACGUGAGUAACCUGCCCUUGACUCUGGGAUAACUUCAGGAAACUGGGGCUAAUACCGGAUAGGAGCUCCUGCUGCAUGGUGGGGGUUAGAAAGUUUCGGCGGUUGGGGAUGGACUCGCGGCUUAUCAGCUUGUUGGUGGGGUAGUGGCUUACCAAGGCUUUGACGGGUAGCCGGCCUGAGAGGGUGACCGGCCACAUUGGGACUGAGAUACGGCCCAGACUCCUACGGGAGGCAGCAGUGGGGAAUAUUGCACAAUGGGCGGAAGCCUGAUGCAGCAACGCCGCGUGCGGGAUGACGGCCUUCGGGUUGUAAACCGCUUUCGCCUGUGACGAAGCGUGAGUGACGGUAAUGGGGAAAGAAGCACCGGCUAACUACGU